rnacentral:rRNA from 1 species
AAAGGUAGCAUAAUCAUUAGGGAUUUAAUUGGAACCUGGAAUGAAAGGUUGGACAAAGGAAUAGCUGUCUUUAAAAUAUAAGUUGAAAUUUACUUUUAAGUGAAAAGGCUUAAAUAAUUUAGGGGGACGAUAAGACCCUAUAAAGCUUAAUAGAUGACUUAAAUUUGAUUGAUUUUAGGAAAUAAAAAUUGAAUGUAAUUAUUCUAUUCUGUUGGGGCGUCAUGAGUAUAAUUGUUGUUAACUGCUUAUAAAUCAUAUUGUAAAUAAUAAUAUCAAAGAAAAGAUGAUCCUUUAUAUAGAUUAAAAGAUUUAGUUACUUUAGGGAUAACAGCGUAAUUUUCUUAGAGAGUUCUUAUCGAAAAGAAAGAUUGCGACCUCGAUGUUGAAUUAAAAUACCUAUGUAGUGCAGGAGUUACAUAAGGAGGUCUGUUCGACCUUUAAAAU